AAUUUUGUUUAGAAUAAGUUACUCAAAAUUAUAAAUUUAAGAUACUCAAAAAUGUAAAAAUAGAAGAAGAAUACAGUGACUAAGAGAAAGUUUCUGAAAAAGAACUUUCUUAUAUCACAAUACUUAUAAUGUCGAUGGUAUAAUGUAUACUAUAAGACUAAUUAAAAAUAACGCACACAAUUAUUCCUUAAUUUAAAACUUAAAAUAUGUGGUUUGUAUUAUAUAUAAAAUAAAGUGUUUGCAAAGGGAUUAGAAUUUUCAUGCUUGGAAAAUUGCCUCAUGUUCAAUUGGAUUUGAAAUUAUCUGAACAUGUGAAAAUUUAUUUUAUUUACCUGAUUUGACAUUAUUGAGAUAUUAACUUGAAUUACUUAAGCACUUGGUGAAAAUUCAACUUAUUUGAUUAAUUGUCAUUUACUUAUGACUUCACAGAAUUUCACUGCAAUAACCAUUUGCUUUCUCUGUGGAACUCAUCAAAUACUGGAAGCAUAUUCGUCUUCUCAUAAAAUCUGGAAAUAAUUUUGAAACUACUAGAUUUAAACUCUGAGUAGUGAGUGUUAAAAUGAGAAGACAAUAAGUAGCAGUUCAAAGAUUCGUUGACCUUUCCGUAAGAUAAGCACACGGAACUGUUAGAAGAACCAAGUAUUCUCAAAAUUUAAACCCCGAAUUGUCGUUUUAGGAGUGUGAUAGGUUGUGGUGGCAAAACUUAUUGCUUAUCAAAAUUUUCGUGUAUUAUUAUAUUGCAUAGUAAUGUUUAAUAAGUGAA